GCUACCAAAGAGAAAAGACAUGUGGUGGUAGCUGUGGCGGCGGCAGCUGCUGCAGUGCAAGAGCUGGAGAUCCUGUGAUCUGGAGACCUGUUGCCCAAUGGACUGCAGCAUCAAGAGCCUGAUUGAUUCAUCUUCUGAACUCAAGAUUCAAGGCUGUACAAUAAUGGAAUCUUUUUGAAAGACACUCCCAUGUCUAAAGAAUUCAUGCAACAUCUGGGAGGCUCAGUCCAUGCUGCAGAGGACAGUGCAUUAUUAAUUGGACAUUAAGUGGUGGGCCUUGUCUGUGGCUAUUUCACAUUUUAUUAAUUACAGAGUGGUUAAUAACAACCUCCUGUCCCUGGUAUUUAUAGAAUCAUAAAAUGGAUCCAUGAUACUGGUCUCACAUCUGGUGAAACUGACAAACACAUUUUCUUUUACCUUCCAUCCCCAAGCUUGCUAAUGGCUUGCAGAUUUCUAGGAGGACAACUGGAGAUAACAGAUUAGGGUAUUUUGGAGGCAUUGCGAGUUGCUCCAUUGUGAAGGGUGUAUUGAGCUUUGUACUUCAAACAGGACCAAAAUCCCUCUGUUUUAUACUUUACUGAUGGAAUUGAGUUUCCAGAUUUGGCACAAUGACUCUUCAAGGGAUGAGUUGAAUUUUCUGUGUAAUAAAUUGUAAAAGAUUCCCUCUUUGA